UCCAGAUGACCCCUGUUCUUUCUCAGCCCGUGCUUGUGCCAGAAGGUCUCGCUAUUCCGCUCGGCCUGGCCGCCGAUGCUGCUGCUGGGUGAUCGUAGCGUGUGCUCGGGUAGUUCUGCUGUUGCGUGGCGCUGCUGUGUGCAGGGAAUUGCGUAUGUCAAGAAAAUCCUUGCCUCUAGGCAGGUUCAACAUGGCUGGUACAUUCCAGGAAACACCUACACUUGAAGCUUCGUAUCCAGAAAAUGUUGAUGCUAAGUUGUCGUUUCUUCCUGAAAGACUGAGAAAGAAACUGCUUCCUUUUCAGGAGAAAGGCAUCAUAUUUGCACUUCAGAGAAAUGGCAGGUGUAUGAUUGCUGAUGAGAUGGGGCUAGGUAAAACAAUUCAAGCAAUUGCCAUUUCCUAUUACUACAAAAACGAAUGGCCCCUCUUAAUUGUAGUGCCUUCAUCUCUGAGAUACCCUUGGGUUGAUGAGAUGGAGAAGUGGAUUCCAGAACUCUCUCCGGAUGAUAUUAGCAUAAUUCAGAACAAAACUGAUAUUGGGAGAAUAUCAACCAGCAAAGUAACGAUUCUGGGGUACGGCCUGUUAACUUCUGAUGCGCAGACUUUAGUAGACGCUUUGUACAGGCAGAACUUUAAGGUAGUUGUGGUCGAUGAAUCGCACUAUAUGAAAUCCAGAAACGCCACCCGCAGCAAGAUUUUAUUGCCAAUUGUGCAGAAGUCUCUUCGUGCGAUUCUUCUUACUGGAACUCCUGCUCUAGGAAGACCUGAAGAGCUUUUCAUGCAGAUUGAGGCACUGUUUCCAAGAAGGUUUGGCACUUGGAAUGAAUAUGCCAAAAAAUACUGCAAUGCUCAUGUCAGGUUUUUUGGUAAAAGAACUCAAUGGGAUUGCAGAGGAGCCUCAAAUUUAGAAGAACUACAUCAACUUCUCGGUGAAAUAAUGAUCAGAAGACUGAAGAAUGAUGUUCUAACUCAGUUGCCUCCCAAAGUUAGGCAACGUAUUCCAUUUGACCUCCCACAAGCUGCAGCUAAGAAUUUAAAUAACACGUUUGCAGAGUGGGAGAAAUUAAUGAGAAAUCUGAGUUCAGAUGCCACUGAAAGCCACUUUUCUCAAGUCAUGAAUCUAAUCACACGCAUGUAUAAAGAAACAGCCAUUGCCAAGGCAGGAGCAGUAAAGGACUAUAUCAAAAUGAUGCUUCAAAAUGACAAACUGAAGUUUCUGGUUUUUGCUCAUCACUUAAGCAUGCUUCAAGCCUGUACAGAGGCAGUUAUAGAAAAUAAGGUUCGCUACAUACGAAUAGAUGGAAGCGUUCCUUCUGCAGAAAGAAUACAUCUUGUUAAUCAGUUCCAGAAGGAUCCCGAUACCCGGGUUGCUAUUUUGAGUAUUCAGGCAGCUGGUCAGGGUUUAACUUUCACUGCUGCUACUCACGUUGUGUUUGCUGAAUUAUAUUGGGAUCCAGGCCAUAUUAAGCAGGCGGAAGACAGAGCGCAUCGAAUUGGGCAGUGCAGCUCUGUGAACGUUCACUUCCUCAUCGCCAAAGGAACGAUGGACACGCUCAUGUGGGCAAUGCUGAAUCGCAAGGCCAAAGUUACAGGCAGCACCUUGAAUGGCAAGAAGGAGAAAAUGCAGGCUGAAGAAGGUGAUAAGGAGAAAUGGGAUUUUUUGAGUUUUGCUGAGACCUGGACCCCAAAUGAAAGUCUAGAAGAUCCCAAAAAUGAACUUUUAUUUACACAUUUUGAAAAGGAAAGACAGAACGACAUACGGUCUUUCUUUUCCCCAAAAUCCUCCACUGAGAAGAAACACAAAAUAUUUUCUGGUAAUGAAUAUUUACAUAAUGCUUCAGAAUCUUCUGAAGUCACAAAAGAAGAGGAUUCCACAAGAAUAAUUGAUGUGGAUGCAAUUUGUCUUGAAAAUACAUGUGAACGUGAAGCUAAAAGGGCAAAAAGAAUAAGUGGAUCUACUCCGGUCAGCUCCAAUAAGAAAAAGAAACUAUCUUUGACUGGAGAAAAGCUCUCUUUGUUUUCAGAAAAAAACAAUGAAGUCUUGCCUUGUGGCUUAAAUACCUCAAGCAAAAGUACAGCAUUAAAGAAAGUUUGGCACUGUGGUGCUUGCACUUAUAAAAAUAAUGAAUUGCUCCCUUACUGUGAAAUGUGCAAUUGCCCUCGAAGCAGUGAUGGUGAGAGAAAUGGGGAAGCUCCCACUCACCAGACUGAGGAAGAUGAUUUGUCGAAGGACUCCAGAAGAAAUGAAGAGGGAGCAGUGUGCAGUGCUGGAGAUCAGAAAGAAGAUUUGGGGGAACCAGUGACCCAGCAAUUUGUUGAAAUCGGCAAAGAGGAAACUGUUGAAAUUGAAGAUGAAAACAGUGAAAAAAAGCGUGGAGAAGGAGAUGGAGAUAAAUCAGAAACGCUUCCAAUAUAUGACGGUCUUAUGUUUUGUGCGAGUAGGAAUACUGAUAGAAUUCACCUCUAUACAAAGGAUGGUGAACCACUGAGCCAUAAUUUCAUUCCACUGGACAUACAGCUGGAUAACUGGGAGGAUUUACCAGAGGCUUUCCAGCAUAAACGGAAUCGUUCCUUGAUACUGAGAUUCGUGAAGGAGUGGAAUCAUCUAACAGCAAUGAGACAGAAGAUUGUCAGAAAAAGCGGUCAGAUAUUUUGUAGCCCUGCUCAUGCUGCAGAGGAGUUGUCUAAAAAGCAGUCAGUGGGCAGCAGCACUAAAAGGUACGUGACCAAGGAGGAUGUAGCAGCAGCGUCACUGAGCAAAGCGAGCAGCAGCGGGGGCAGCGUUCGCCUCAUCUCCAAACCCAGUGGGCUUUGGCUGAAGACUGAAAAUGCUUCUGUCGAACAAUCAGGUCAUUCCACGAAGUUGCUUCCAGAAGACAGCAAAGGCCCCUCAGCUCUUUGUUCAGAGCAGCAAGAAGCAGAAGGCUCCUCCCCGCCCAAAGGCUACUUGCAAGCCCUGGACAGCCAGGGAAACCCGCUCUGCCUCAGCUGUCAGCGGCCGACCGCCCCGCGCCAGCCGGGCUGCCAGGCCUGGGACACGCGCUUCUGCUCGCACGCCUGCCAGGAGGACUUCUCCAUUCGCUCCAGUCAGAGCUACCUCAGGACUAAAGUGUUUGAGAUUGAACACGGCGUUUGCCAGUUUUGUCAUCAAAACGCCCAGGAGCUUUAUCUCAGCGUCAGAGAUGCGCCCAUGAGUCAGCGGAAGAAACUUCUGGAGGGUUCUUGGAUGUCUCACCUUCCGCUUGGACAGAACAUGUGGUUCAGAGGAACAUCUGACGCUCCUGGUGACGUGUCCUUUGUUUGCUGCAGCUGAAUGAGAUGAUAAGGAACCCGACGGAAGGGCAGUUCUGGCAGGUGGACCACAUCAGGCCCGUCUACAGCGGAGGAGGACAGUGCUCCCUGGAGAACCUUCAAACGCUGUGCACAGCCUGCCACAGAGAGAGAACUGCAAAACAGGCCAAGGAAAGGAGCCAGAUGAAGAGACGGUCUUUAGCUACAAAGUACGGCUGUGAUAUCACAAAAUUUUUUGUGAAGUUGUAAAAUGCAAACUAUAUUCAAUUAUGUUAUAACUCAGAAAAAAAACAACCACAACCAAAACUUUAUAGUCUAUCAUGCUGUUGGUAAAGGAAAGAAAAUAUGCAACUAAAACCAAGAAAUCAUUGUUAAUGGUGACUGUCAGAGGGCCUUGGGUGAAUGCAUUCGAGGUACUUGAUCAUGGUUAUAUUUUUAUGACCCUGUGCUUUAAAGCCAAAUUUCUGUGGGUAAUCUUAAUGCAGUUUUGAAGCAUUAGUGUUUUCCUAUUAUUGUAUAGUUACACCUGCAAGAAUUUGAGGAAAUUCUGCUGAGGCUUCAAUUAGUUUUACGUGGUUCAGUUGUUGGGGACAUUGUGGCCCAAGAAGAUCUCUUAGAUUGUUUUCUUUGUUCAUGUAUCAAAAUUACUGAAGAAACUACAGCCUCUGCCCUCUAUUAUGACAGAAAUGGAGUGAUUUGUCUCUUCUGAAACUGUCUCAUACCUACAAACACUCAACAGCAGCCUUGGGAAUGCAAUUUGGCGCUGGGCCUGACUUACAUGACGUUAGCAUUUAGAAUUAAUGUCUGUUGAAACCUGUUUUUACUUAAAGCAGCUUGUAUUAAAAACUUACUCAUGACAGGGAACAAUAAAUAUUACUAAUGAUCUCAUCAAAGGUAGUUUCUGGCAAAUGGUGCAAACGCGUUCUCUUCAGUGAAUGCAGAGAUGCUCGUUCUUUUGGACUGUUUAUGUGACCUUCUUUACGGUCGCUUCAAAUAAAUGUCUUUUUCUCCUGAUAA